GGGUUGUGAGGUUAAGUGACUAAGCGUACACGGUGGAUGCCUAGGCAGUCAGAGGCGAUGAAGGGCGUGCUAAUCUGCGAAAAGCGUCGGUAAGGUGAUAUGAACCGUUAUAACCGGCGAUACCCGAAUGGGGAAACCCAGUGUGUUUCGACACACUAUCAUGUCAUGAAUACAUAGUGGCAUGAGGCGAACCGGGGGAACUGAAACAUCUAAGUACCCCGAGGAAAAGAAAUCAACCGAGAUUCCCCCAGUAGCGGCGAGCGAACGGGGAGGAGCCCAGAACCUGAAUCGGCUUGUGUGUUAGUGGAAGCGUCUGGAAAGUCGCGCAGCAAAGGGUGAUAGCCCCGUACACUAAAAUGCACAGGUCGUGAGUUCGAUGAGUAGGGCGGGACACGUGACAUCCUGUCUGAAUAUGGGGGGACCAUCCUCCAAGGCUAAAUACUCCUGACUGACCGAUAGUGAACCAGUACCGUGAGGGAAAGGCGAAAAGAACCCCGGCGAGGGGAGUGAAAUAGAACCUGAAACCGUGUACGUACAAGCAGUGGGAGCACCUUCGUGGUGUGACUGCGUACCUUUUGUAUAAUGGGUCAGCGACUUAUAUUUUGUAGCAAGGUUAACCGUAUAGGGGAGCCGUAGGGAAACCGAGUCUUAACUGGGCGAAUAGUUGCAAGGUAUAGACCCGAAACCCGGUGAUCUAGCCAUGGGCAGGUUGAAGGUUGGGUAACACUAACUGGAGGACCGAACCGACUAAUGUUGAAAAAUUAGCGGAUGACUUGUGGCUGGGGGUGAAAGGCCAAUCAAACCGGGAGAUAGCUGGUUCUCCCCGAAAGCUAUUUAGGUAGCGCCUCGUGAACUCAUCUUCGGGGUAGAGCACUGUUUCGGCUAGGGGCCAUCCCGGCUUACCAAACCGAUGCAAACUCCGAAUACCGAAGAAUGUUAUCACGGGAGACACACGGCGGGUGCUAACGUCCGUCGUGAAGAGGGAAACAACCCAGACCGCCAGCUAAGGUCCCAAAGUCAUGGUUAAGUGGGAAACGAUGUGGGAAGGCACAGACAGCCAGGAUGUUGGCUUAGAAGCAGCCAUCAUUUAAAGAAAGCGUAAUAGCUCACUGGUCGAGUCGGCCUGCGCGGAAGAUGUAACGGGGCUAAACCAUGCACCGAAGCUGCGGCAGCGACGCUUAGGCGUUGUUGGGUAGGGGAGCGUUCUGUAAGCCGUUGAAGGUGGCCUGUGAGGGUUGCUGGAGGUAUCAGAAGUGCGAAUGCUGACAUAAGUAACGAUAAAGCGGGUGAAAAGCCCGCUCGCCGGAAGACCAAGGGUUCCUGUCCAACGUUAAUCGGGGCAGGGUGAGUCGACCCCUAAGGCGAGGCUGAAAAGCGUAGUCGAUGGGAAACAGGUUAAUAUUCCUGUACUUGGUGUUACUGCGAAGGGGGGACGGAGAAGGCUAGGCUGGCCGGGCGACGGUUGUCCCGGUUUAAGCGUGUAGGGGGUGUGACCUGGUAAAUCCGGUUGCAUAUCAACCCUGAGGCGUGAUGACGAUGCACUACGGUGCAGAAGUAGUUGAUGCCCUGCUUCCAGGAAAAUCCUCUAAGCUCCAGGUAACAUUGAAUCGUACCCCAAACCGACACAGGUGGUCAGGUAGAGAAUACCAAGGCGCUUGAGAGAACUCGGGUGAAGGAACUAGGCAAAAUGGUGCCGUAACUUCGGGAGAAGGCACGCUGGCAUGUAGGUGAAGUCCCUUGCGGAUGGAGCUGAAGCCAGUCGAAGAUACCAGCUGGCUGCAACUGUUUAAUAAAAACACAGCACUGUGCAAACACGAAAGUGGACGUAUACGGUGUGACGCCUGCCCGGUGCUGGAAGGUUAAUUGAUGGGGUCAGCCGCAAGGCGAAGCUCUUGAUCGAAGCCCCAGUAAACGGCGGCCGUAACUAUAACGGUCCUAAGGUAGCGAAAUUCCUUGUCGGGUAAGUUCCGACCUGCACGAAUGGCGUAAUGAUGGCCAGGCUGUCUCCACCCGAGACUCAGUGAAAUUGAACUCGCUGUGAAGAUGCAGUGUACCCGCGGCAAGACGGAAAGACCCCGUGAACCUUUACUAUAGCUUGACACUGAACAUUGAGCCUUGAUGUGUAGGAUAGGUGGGAGGCUUUGAAGCGUGGACGCCAGUCUGCGUGGAGCCAUCCUUGAAAUACCACCCUUUAAUGUUUGAUGUUCUAACUCUGCCCCGUAAUCCGGGGUGAGGACAGUGUCUGGUGGGUAGUUUGACUGGGGCGGUCUCCUCCCAAAGAGUAACGGAGGAGCACGAAGGUUAGCUAAUCACGGUCGGACAUCGUGAGGUUAGUGCAAAGGCAUAAGCUAGCUUGACUGCGAGAGUGACGGCUCGAGCAGGUACGAAAGUAGGUCUUAGUGAUCCGGUGGUUCUGAAUGGAAGGGCCAUCGCUCAACGGAUAAAAGGUACUCCGGGGAUAACAGGCUGAUACCGCCCAAGAGUUCAUAUCGACGGCGGUGUUUGGCACCUCGAUGUCGGCUCAUCACAUCCUGGGGCUGAAGUAGGUCCCAAGGGUAUGGCUGUUCGCCAUUUAAAGUGGUACGCGAGCUGGGUUUAGAACGUCGUGAGACAGUUCGGUCCCUAUCUGCCGUGGGCGUUGGAAGAUUGAGAGGGGUUGCUCCUAGUACGAGAGGACCGGAGUGAACGCACCACUGGUGUUCGGGUUGUCAUGCCAAUGGCAUUGCCCGGUAGCUAAGUGCGGAAAAGAUAAGCGCUGAAAGCAUCUAAGCGCGAAACUUGCCUCAAGAUGAGUCUUCCCUUGGACUUUGAGUCCACUGAAGGAACGUUUAAGACUAAGACGUUGAUAGGCUGGGUGUGUAAGUGCAGCGAUGCAUUGAGCUAACCAGUACUAAUGAUCCGUGAGGCUUAACCUUACAACACCGAAGGUGUUUUAG
rnacentral:rRNA from 1 species